AUGGACGAAAGUCUGACCGAGCAACGCCGCGUGAGUGAAGAAGGUUUUCGGAUCGUAAAGCUCUGUUGUAAGUCAAGAACGUGUGUGAGAGUGGAAAGUUCACACAGUGACGGUAGCUUACCAGAAAGGGACGGCUAACUACGUGCCAGCAGCCGCGGUAAUACGUAGGUCCCGAGCGUUGUCCGGAUUUAUUGGGCGUAAAGGGAGCGCAGGCGGUCAGGAAAGUCUGGAGUAAAAGGCUAUGGCUCAACCAUAGUGUGCUCUGGAAACUGUCUGACUUGAGUGCAGAAGGGGAGAGUGGAAUUCCAUGUGUAGCGGUGAAAUGCGUAGAUAUAUGGAGGAACACCAGUGGCGAAAGCGGCUCUCUGGUCUGUCACUGACGCUGAGGCUCGAAAGCGUGGGUAGCGAACAGGAUUAGAUACCCUGGUAGUCCACGCCGUAAACGAUGAGUGCUAGGUGUUAGGCCCUUUCCGGGGCUUAGUGCCGGAGCUAACGCAAUAAGCACUCCGCCUGGGGAGUACGACCGCAAGGUUGAAACUCAAAGGAAUUGACGGGGGCCCGCACAAGCGGUGGAGCAUGUGGUUUAAUUCGAAGCAACGCGAAGAACCUUACCAGGUCUUGGCAUCCCGAUGCUAUUCUUAGAGAUAGGAAGUUACUUCGGUACGUCGGAGACAGGUGGUGCAUGG
rnacentral:rRNA from 1 species